GUCCCUCCCCACGAGACAAGUAAAGAUGUCGAUCCUCUGCUGAUGAGCUCAAACCACGCCAGGGAGAAGGAUCAGAAACUUGGAAGUAUCACAGUAGGUGUCCAAUUAAUCUUUUGGACAAGGUCAGCAGAAAAGGAAUUUCAGGCGGAGAUGGGCUGAACCGUGAGGAUCUUUCCAGGUCUGCAGCUGAGCGAUGUGAGCACGGCAAACGCCACCCCUGAGUUGUGCAAACAGCACAACAGCACAACUUUCCAGAAGAAUGCAUAACAUCAAGUUUUAAAUAACGAGCUCAGCUCCUGAAACAGGUACUGGAAAAAAAAUGCAGUAGAAUCAGACAACCAUUUGGGCAGAAAAUUAGCUGGAAACAGAAAUAAAGAGCAAACAAAGUGUGUUACUGGAAGGGCCUGCGUGGUCCGGAGGGCAGCUCGCAAAGGCCCCUUGCCCGACGCUGUGCAGAGCACCUGCAGCCACCUCCCCACCCUCGCACGCCCCAGCACACCCCAAAAAACUCCACGACCUCGCAAUGAAUCAGCCUCUCUGUGCAGCUUGGGAGGCUGUCACUAUCAUUUCAGCAUGUCUCACUCACAGUAUUAUUACUAGUCAUAAUAUCAUCCAGCUGUGAGCUGUUAAAAAAAAAAAAAAAAGACAGCUAUAAUAUUUAACUCUAUGGACAUUUUGCUGUAACAAGACUUUACCAGAUGUUCUGCCCCUUGAUUAUGCAUGCCACAAAAGCAUGUUUUAUAAUCACAUAAAACAAAGCAAGAUGAAAGCCAUGGAAAUGCCUGUGUGUUCUUUUCCCAAUGCAGCUGCUUUCGAGAUGGUUUUUGCAUCUGUCAAGCAUAAAUCAAAAGAGAAAAAUGAUCCUCAAAACUAGCCCAUUUCUUGAUAGAGGCAGUGUUUUCUGUCACAAACAUUAGUCGACGUCAAGAAUUAUUCUUCAUUAUAUACUUCCACUUCCCACACUCACGGGGAGGUUAAGUUAAAUGUUAUUAAAGCAUUUCCAGUCCUGGAAUGGGAAGCGCUGAGAAUUUCAGACUGAACUGCAUUUAUUGAUUAGCGUUAUGAAAAAUAAAUGAUGGGUACUGCUUGUGGGGGACAUAUGUUAGCCAUAAUUCCUAAUUUCCACUCCUAACAGAGCCAAAACACACGUGAGUGUCUGCGGCCAAACCUCUGGCCUGGAUGUAAGGUGCUUCCAUGCUUUUGGGGGACAGGCCAAUUAAUAGCUGGAAUGCUCAGAUAAGAUUUGAGUAAAAAUGAAUAUUAUUGUUUAAACUUUUCAUGUGACAUUGCUGAGGCUCUGGCAAGCAGGGUAUCAGCUAAAUGACAAACAUGCUGAAGUAAUAAAAAGUGUUACUGCAUAAGCACAAAAUGCGGCGAUACCAGAACGAGCACCCAAUUUUUUCUGACCUUUCCUAAGCAAAUUGCUACUGCAGGCAAGUCUUCGGCUGUAUGUUACCUAUAUCCUGUAUGAAUGAAUUCCUUUUUUGUGUGAUUGUUCAAAGCCAGUAUGUCCGUUUCUGUAGAAGCACCCACAGGAUCACUGAAAACCACAUAUUCAGCUCUUGUUAAUGUCACCAAUGACGUACCAGAGCAAGUACUUGUUUGUCCUGAAGAAAUACAGGACUUCCACCGCUCGAGCGUGAGCCCUGCCGAGCGCCUGUUCAGAAAAAAAAAAAAAAAAAAGUUGUUGACAUUAGAGGAAAAACCAGGUUUCCUGUUUGAACUCUGACAGGUACUGGAAGAUAUGAGUAACAUCAAAUCUUGGUCUGCUCUAAAGGCAGUCUGUGGUCAGGGGGUUCUCACAUUUGUUUGUGUGGAACAGCUUUGAAUUGUUUGCAGAUACCGCGCAGAAGAAACUCGGAGAUGCUUAUCGUCGCGCAGGGCCUGUUAUGAAAUACAUGCAUUUGUGAACAGGUUAGAGGAGAUCAAAACGGCUCCAGAUGAUAUGCCUCACAUGCUGUAAAAUGUGGUAGAUGCUCCCGAGAUACCUCCAAAAAUAUCACAUGUCGCAGCGUUGUCGAGUACAGGCAGCAGCCACCUUUAUUUCCAUUUCACGCUGCAUGGCAGGCGAAAGGAGUUUGGGGGAUUUUUUUCCAGAUCAUUCUUCUUUUGUGCGUGCGUGCCUGUCUGACUGUUCAAAUUAAAACUUUCCCUCGUUACGAUUUUCACUAACAGAGCUACCCAAACAUCUAUUGCAAAAGAAACAAGAUGCUGGAGAAAAUGCUUAAACCAUCCCAGCUUUGCUCCAGCUGCCCCGUGCUGGUGCCACCGCCGGGCAGACAGGGGACGAUGCUGGCACAGCAGCAUCAGCUCUGAGCUGCUGCCCUAAGAGCCAGCAGGGAGCCCGUGUUUCAGCCCGUUUGGCAGCAAAAGGGAGAGAUGCAGUGGGAGCACUGCAGGCAGAGCCCAGGAGCUGAGAGCAGGAGCAGCCCUGAUGCUCAGCCCAGCUUUGAGGUGUGCCAGCGAGAAGCACGUGGUUUGUAGCAGGCUCUCCAAAGUGCUCUGCCAAAAGUUAUCAGUUAUCAGCUAUAACUGAUAACUUUAUAACUUAUAAAAGUAUCUCAGUUAUCAGCCCAAAGUGCCUCUGAACCCCUCUGUCCUUCACAACUGCUUCUGCCAGGCUUGAGGACCGACCCCUCAGCAUCUCUGUGCUGCUAACAGUGGAUGAAGCCUCGCCAGGGGACUCAGCAGCUCACGCAGAGCUCAGCAGCUCGCCCUCCAGCCCUUGGAGAAGGGAAGGAAAAGCCCAGAGGGCACUGCUUGGUCCCUUCCCUGUGAUGAGCAGAUCCCAAACUCCUGCAUCUGCUCUCACGCUUACGAUGCCAUCUCCUCUUGGCCACCCCUAACGCUGUAUUACGGUACCUUUGUAUACAUGAAGCUAACCCUCUAUUUUCUUUACUCUUAAUGCAAACCAUCUUUUUUGAAAACUACUAAGAAAAGACCUCCCAGAGCUCUGCUAAAUCAAAAUCAUAUCUGGGGAUAUAGCUGGUUCAUAGCUUCACAUUGCAACUUCGUAAGUGAGUAACUUAGAGCUGCUGUGAGUUGCUAACAGGAGGCAAAACUCUCCUCCAAACCACGGACCCCUUGGCCAUGCCAUCACCUCUCACAGCCCAAACUGAGUCCACACAAAGCACUUUCCCCAUACCAGAGGCAGCUCUGUACAUUCAUGCGAUGGAGACGUGAUCCUCCAGGAGGAAUGCUCUCCUUGGAGGACAUCAGCAGCUUUACCCAUUCCCAUGAAACCACCAGGCCAAGGCAGCACCAGAUGAGCUGAACGUCUCUCCUGGGCUGUGUCCUGCUAAGUGAUCCCCAGCUGGUGGGGGAAAGUGCUCUGCACCACCCAGCACUGUGCCUUCAAAGCCAUCGGUGUUAGAGCUACCUCAAACCCUCAGCUGAUGAGACAGUGCCAGAGAGCUUCUUUUAAAUACCUGUGGUCCCCCAGAGCUAAACAUUUCCCAUCCUUACAGGCAGCAGACAAAAAGGCAGGGAUGGUUUGAGCUAGAGACUCAGCAGAGGCAGUGCUGUACAAGCCUCUUACCGGCUGAUUCUGCCUAUUCUCCUGGAUUUUGUUUAAGAUUUAUUUUUCCAGCUGAUGUGUGCAAGCCUCUUCCACUAGAGCGAGUGCUUACAGAAAGCAAAUGUUCAUCUUGCAUGUUGCAGUGGAAGCAGGGGAAGCAAAUUAAAAAUUAAAACAAUUCAAUCAAGGAAAAGAACAAUUCCCCACAACAGGGCUAGCCAGUUGCAGCUAAGUAAUUGGGCUCUCAGAUCUGGGCCACUCAUAAAUUAACUUAGCUUGAAAAAGAUUUUCUUGAACUACUUUAGUAACUGAAAAGUUUGAAGUGAAAAAAAAAAAACAAACGCUGCAAGUUCCUUAGACACCUGAUGCUCAACCCCUCAAAGAGCACCUGGUUAGAGAAAGAAAAUCAGCAAAUAAUUAUCCCCUUAAACCCCUUGGGUGUUGUGUUUGUCUUCAUUCCUGAGCUGGAAAUACUUAAGAUAAAUUCACAGUUUUCUAUAUUAAUUUUUGUAAACUUAGUGAAAAUUUAUUUACGCCUCAAAACAACAAAUUUUGCCAGCUGGGUUUAAAUUGCCUGUUCUGGUGAAGCUGGCACAAAAAUGCAACAUGAGCAACAUGUUCCCAGCGUUCUGAUUUGAAAUUCCCCUCAAAUCUCUGGGACCUAAGUGUGUGGUUAACUUAAUGCCUGUGCUUAGGAUUUUCCUGAAGCAGGGCUCUAAUUGCAAAAGAAAGCAGGAGGGAUCCUCCUUUCACUGAAACCCUCUCAUUUUUCUGAGGAUAUCAGAAUUAAGUCAUUAAACAUUAAACUUUUUUUGUAGUAAUUCAUACAAAUGUCAUUAGAAAUGGACUUGCAUAAUUAAAAACUGCAUAAGAUGAAAGCUAACAGUAUCAACAGUAAGAAAACCAAGUAGAUUCAUAACUGGAAAUAAUAUGGAAUUAGUUCAGUAUCGCAUGACGGUAGGGAAAAAAAUAAAAAAGGGAAUGCUGGUUGUUCAAAUACAGCAUCAUAAAUUUACAAGUGUGAAGGGUUUCCUUUAACUGAAUACUAAUUUGUGGACAACUUUUGAAUAACUUUCAAAGUGAAACUGUUUAAAGCAACACAUUACAGGUCUUUGUUCCUUUGAGACUUCAAGUACUGAUGUGAGCUAUUACAUUCCAAGUGCUCCCCAUUGAUUCAGCCUUGCUUUAGCAAAUAAUAAGGCCAGGUGUGUUUACACUCUUUGUAGGUUUUGAGUAUUAAUGGACAAUUGGGAAGAGAGUCAAAUUUAAACAAGAGAUAAGAAAACCAGAUUAAUUCAAUUAUUAAAUAUGAUUUGUGCUCAUUAUAUUCAUUAAGUAUGAUUUCAUUAAGGAAUUUUCCCUUUUUAUUUAACUCUCCACACUUAAGUGCUGUUACCAAAUGUUUUGAUUCUUAUUUGAAUAAAAAAAUUACAAGGAAUAAUCCUCUUAAACUUAUUUAAAUUUUUCUUUUCAACUUUCCUUUUAGCUUCUUUUAUACGUUGGAUUUUGAGACAGUUAAUAAGAUGCAAUGGGGCUCUGUGCUCUGAGCAAAAUCUUCUUUUAUUAUAGCCAGACUUUCCAGGUAACAAACACGCGAUCCAGCUCUGCUGGCUAAAUCCCACCAAACAGCUCUCAAAUUCCAGCCAUCGGCUGCCACACACCUUACGUGACUCCAGACGAGUGAAGCUUUUUAGCUUUUUCAGAAUAUUACCCGAUUUCAUCUCAUCAAAAAGGACAAGCAGAGGCCAAGAAUCAAAAUAAAGUGUUGGCUUAUUAGGAAA